CUGGUUAUAUUUGACCCUCGACCCCAAUUGUUGUACUGUCCAUAAAACAAAUUGCUGCAAAAAACCACAUAAAUAAAAUUGACUUAAAUGGAUUCCAAGAAUAAUAAAGCCCUAAUUUACAAAAACUGGGGAAAACAAUGAGAAAGAAUUUGCUAACAAUUCACGUUCAGGGUGUGGACAAUAUUAGCCAUGUCGGUGUAGGCAAGCACCACGUUGGGG
rnacentral:lncRNA from 1 species